rnacentral:SRP_RNA from 1 species
CCCUGAAGUCUAUCAGGCGUGGAAGGCAGCAGGGA